rnacentral:rRNA from 1 species
GUCUAACCGCAAGGAGGACGGUCACCACGGUAGGAUUCAUGACUGGGGUGAAGUCGUAACAAGGUAGCCGUAUCGGAAGGUGCGGCUGGAUCACCUCCUUU